GAUGAACGCUAGCGACAGGCCUAACACAUGCAAGUCGAGGGGCAGCACGGUGUAGCAAUACACGGGUGGCGACCGGCGCACGGGUGAGUAACGCGUAUGCAACCUGCCUACUACAAGGGGAUAACCCGUUGAAAGACGGACUAAUACCCUAUAACACAGGGAAUCCGCAUGGAUAUAUUUGUUAAAGAUUUAUCGGUAGUAGAUGGGCAUGCGUUCCAUUAGCUUGUUGGUGAGGUAACGGCUCACCAAGGCAACGAUGGAUAGAGGAACUGAGAGGUUGAUCCCCCACACUGGAACUGAGACACGGUCCAGACUCCUACGGGAGGCAGCAGUGAGGAAUAUUGGUCAAUGGACGAGAGUCUGAACCAGCCAAGUCGCGUGAAGGAAGACGGCCCUACGGGUUGUAAACUUCUUUUGUAAGGGAAUAAAUAGUCUUACGCGCUAAGACGUUGCAGGUACCUUACGAAUAAGGAUCGGCUAACUCCGUGCCAGCAGCCGCGGUAAACAUA
rnacentral:rRNA from 1 species